GGGGACCUCUGCCGAGGGCCCUAUACCCAGGCCGAAAGGCCCACACAUAGCGGGGCGACAAGCCCUGCAAAGCUAACGGAAGACAGAAA
rfam:Tropicimonas sediminicola strain DSM 29339 genome assembly, contig: Ga0111647_104